AACACAUGCAAGUCGAACGCGAAAGUCCCGCAAGGGAUCAGUAGAGUGGCAAACGGGUGAGUAACGCGUGGGCGACCUACCUUCGAGUGGGGGAUAACCUUCCGAAAGGAGGGCUAAUACCGCAUGACAUCUCGUGUUUAGAUACACGGACAUCAAAGCCGGGGAUCGUAAGACCUGGCGCUUGAAGAGGGGCCCGCGUCCGAUUAGCUAGUUGGUGAGGUAACGGCUCACCAAGGCUCCGAUCGGUAUCCGGCCUGAGAGGGCGGACGGACACACUGGGACUGAGACACGGCCCAGACUCCUACGGGAGGCAGCAGUGGGGAAUUGUUCGCAAUGGGCGCAAGCCUGACGACGCAACGCCGCGUGGAGGAUGAAGACCUUCGGGUCGUAAACUCCUUUCGAUCGAGAUGAAGACCUGCGGGCCUAACACGCCCGCGGAUUGACAGUAUCGGGAGAAGAAGCCCCGGCUAACUCCGUGCCAGCAGCCGCGGUAAUACGGGGGGGGCAAGCGUUGUUCGGAAUUACUGGGCGUAAAGGGUUCGUAGGUGGCUCGCUAAGUCACACGUGAAAUCCCUCAGCUUAACUGGGGAACUGCGUGUGAGACUGGCAAGCUCGAGUGCAGGAGAGGAAUGCGGAAUUCCAGGUGUAGCGGUGAAAUGCGUAGAUAUCUGGAGGAACACCGGUGGCGAAGGCGGCAUUCUGGACUGCAACUGACACUGAAGAACGAAAGCCAGGGGAGCAAACGGGAUUAGAUACCCCGGUAGUCCUGGCCCUAAACGAUGAAUGCUUGGUGUGGCGGGUAUCGAUCCCUGCCGUGCCGUAGUUAACGCGUUAAGCAUUCCGCCUGGGGAGUACGGUCGCAAGG
rnacentral:rRNA from 1 species